AGAAAAUCUUGAGGCUCGAAUCGUUGCGUUGUGGCAUUGGAAAUUUUCUUUUAUUUCUACAUAGUACCAACCUACCCACACACCGUGUGCCCUCGACUGCUCCGGAGUCUAUCAGAUUGCACACUAGCGAUCUGAGAACUUUUCUUAAUUAUACUGAAUCCAAUUAACGGAAGCCUGCAAGGAAUAGGCCGACUUUUCGCCUGUCAUUAACUGGGUACAACACACUUCGGUAACGAGUCGAUACAUACGAACAAUGUAACUGGAGGCUGCUGACGUGUAUACUGUAUAUGUAUAUACCUGGAGAUCUGAUUAGGCACGCGAGAGAUAGCGAUCCAGAGAUCACGACGUUCCCGAUCGAUCUUGGGAUCUCGUUCGAUUUAGCAAUGGCGGAGAGCAUUUAAUAUAAGAGGAAGCCGAGUCCCUCGGAUGUUCGGUUUGAAGAAGUCGUUAUUGGGAGUUUUCACUGGGGACGAGUGGGUAGCGACGUUUGCCCGACGCUGGUAACCCCGAAGUACGGUGGAUCGGUCGAAGUCCAGAAGCGACGCCUGGUAUCCCAAAUAUUCAGCGAUCCGAGCCAAAAAUUCUUCUCGCGUUGAAAAUUCGAAGAAUUCUUGGCCGCGGAUCCUUCGCGUGCUGCGCGCAUCUAUCUGCUACACAGUACACGGGUAUACAUGUCACGUAGUACCGUCUGGUAACUAAACGCUUGAGACCUGGGAUUUUCCUAUUCUAUAUAUCCGACGCAGCACCGCGUGCUCGGUACUCGCGGACAUUUUCUAGGAAAGCGGAUAAGUGACACGAGACGGUCGACGGAGACCGUCUGUCCUUUACUUUGACUAUUAUUUGCGCGAACAGACUUCACAAAGAAAUCCUAUACACAGUUUAAAUAAUACGUCACGAGACAGCAACCGCCACUGAACACGGUACCUACCGUAAAGCAUCCGUAAACCGCCGAGCAUGUAAAUAAUCAAAAGAGACAAAUUCGUGGCGCUCCGUUCGACCAAUCAUAUCUAAUUAAUGCCAUUAAUUAAGUUACACCGACUAACGUACAUGCAGUCGCUAAAUUAUUGAUAUAUUCCAUGGAAUCGAGCGAGACGAGUGUCGGCUCUGGUCGCGAUGAUUAAUCGAUUUCCGGUAUCGAUUAUACCUAUAUGAAAUGUAUAUUUUCUUCGGUCGAACGAUGUUGAAAGAAAAAAAAAGUAAUUGUUCCUCCAAAAGAAAACACGAGCAUAGACAAUAUCUGAUCCGUACUUCAUACGCAAGGAAAUCCCGUCUCUGCGUAUCCUAGAAAAUAUUGGCAUAGCCAACUAUGCACUGGCUGGAUCGAGCCAGCGGAGAGGAGAGCCAUUUGCAUUGGAAUGCAAAUCCCCUCGCCGCGUUCGAAUGCUCGUACCACGUUCUACGAGUACGCGUAUUUAUACACGCGUGAAACCCCGAGCUGUUCGGCCGGUGCCGUGAGGGACGGGGAACCGGACUGCUGGUCAGGUACGGGAGAUAGAGUCUACGUGUACGUGAAUGUAUUUAAGAAUAACUCGGUGGAAAAGUUUCCUAUUGAGAAUUGGCGACUCCCUCGACGAGGAUCGACGAUCCUUAUGGAAAGGUAUCGUCGUCCGUUUGUUUUACUUUCUGUUUCCAUUUUGUUAUCGUGCUUCUCCUUUUUAUUUUCCUUUUCUUCUCUCGACCCGACCGUACCCUUAAGAACGUAGAAGAUACGAUACUUAGCCGACGGCGGUUAUAGUCUUUAGCCUCGAGGGAUUCGACCCGGACUGACUCGGCACCUUUUUACAGCACACUCCUUAUUAUCGGUUUCACUUUCGUAACACGACGUAGCGCCACUGUCGCUUUUUCAUUUCCCACCAAAUUUUCGCACGCUAACGAGAUACCCUCGUUCGGACGCAGUCCCUCGUCGUUCGUAUCUACGCACGAUUCGGGGUAUACGUGAACGUGAAAAAUAAUGCAAAGGAGCCAGGACGCAGACCGAGCGAAAGUUCGUUUGGGGAGUAUCCGGGCGUUUCGCGUAAGCGAGAGUCCGAUGUGUUUGGUCUGAUUAGAGGUAUGCGUGAGUCGGAAUUUUUUCGUCUUUUCUUUGACUCGGCACUCUUUUUCUCUCGGCAGGAUAAAAACCUUCGUGGAAACGUGGCGCAGCUGUUGUUUUACGGGCAGAACGCGCAUUGGCGUUUCGCGACGCGUGCGAGAACGUAACGACGCAGAGUCGAGAAAAGGGACUGGCAGUGAAUGAACGGAACGAAUGAAUGAGCGAACAGAGGGAAAAGAAAGCCGAGCGAAAAGCGAGUGAGGAAUUUUAUAUGGCGCAUGGGACACAGGUAGAACAGGACCCCACCGUAUAUGUACAGCCAAAGGAACUAAUGCUGCGUACGGCCCUGAGGAAUGUUACUCUCUACCUAUUACGAUAAUGAAAGACAUUUAACGAGGUAUGAGACUAGUAGUAAAAAAAAAUAACAAUUUAAAGUUUUUCAAAAUAAUAAUAAAAAGCAA